rnacentral:rRNA from 1 species
UAAAGUGGCGCACGGGUGAGUAACACGUGAAUUAUCUACCUCCGAGUGGGGAAUAACUGAGAGAAAUCUUAGCUAAUACCGCAUAACACUUACGAGUCAAAGCAGCAAUGCGCUUGGAGAGGAGUUCGCGGCCGAUUAGUUAGUUGGCGGGGUAAUGGCCCACCAAGACGAUGAUCGGUAUCCGGCCUGAGAGGGCGCACGGACACACUGGAACUGAAACACGGUCCAG